rnacentral:rRNA from 1 species
UACGGGGGGGGCAAGCGUUGUUCGGAAUUACUGGGCGUAAAGGGCUCGUAGGCGGCCAACUAAGUCAGACGUGAAAUCCCCAGGCUCAACCUGGGAACUGCGUCUGAUACUGGAUGGCUUGAAUUCGGGAGAGGGAUGCAGAAUUCCAGGUGUAGCGGUGAAAUGCGUAGAUAUCUGGAGGAACACCGGUGGCGAAGGCGGCAUCCUGGACCGGUAUUGACGCUGAGGAGCGAAAGCCAGGGGAGCAAACGGG